CCCAAAUGAAUGAGAAAUCAAGAAUUCCAUAAAUUUUUUUCAGAAUUUCUUCAUUACAAAGCACGUUUAACAUGGUAUCAGAGCAAAUCUCAAUUUUUUCUCUUCGUACUCAUAUUCUGUUUUCCGCAUUCUGAACUUGUACAGUUAGCUCCAUGGCAAUGAAUCCAGACUCAAUCACCGUCUUCACCACAGCUCCCCAGCCAAUAAUUCCUGCAUCACAAAUCGUUGUUCAGCAAGAUAAUUCUGCCUUCGCAACUGGGGUUAUAUUGGAUGAGAAUAACUACCCAUUAUUGUCUCAACUCAUGGAGAUGUAGAUUGGUGCUCGUAACAAGGAUGGGUAUCUCACCGGAAAGAUAGUGAAACCUUCACCUGGAGAUCCACAGCUGGAGAUUUGGAUUACUGAAAACCAUAGAGUCAAGAGCUACUUUAUUAAUGCAAUGAGUCCAUCAUUGAUGCAGUGAUUUAUUCGCCUUUCCAUAGCAAAGGAAAUAUGGAGGCAGUGGCUCGAACAUUCUAUGACAGAUCAGAUGAAACCUGCCUUUUUGAAUUGCACCAGAGAUCUUUUUCUACCAAGCAAAUUGGCCCCCCACUCUCAACAUAUUAUAAUGAACUUGUUGCUAUUUUUCAGGAUAUUGAUCAUGGAACUACUUCUCAAGAGGGAACCGUUGAAGGAAUUGUUCUAUUGCACUUAGCUAUGGCUAGACUUCGAGUUUAUAUCUUUCUCAGUAGACUCGACUCUGAAUAGACACAGGUGCGUGGAGAAAUCUUGCAGAAGGAUUCAAAACUUGAUCUUGAGAGUGCUUAUGCCUAUGUUCGGAGGGAAUUUCAGAAUCGCAAAGGAUUUCCAGGGGGUCCGUCAAAGAAUAACUUCAGACAACCUUCUAAAGGGCCGGUAUGUACACAUUGUGGUGAAACUGGCCAUUCAAAUCAAAAGUGCUAUGAGAACAUAGGCUAUCCUGAAUGGUGAGAUUUUACAAACAAACCUUAGAAAAAUACUGCUAGGAAAGCUAUGAUAUCAUCCACGGCAGAGGAAUCGAUAUAGCCCAUGGCAAAUACGAUUGUUUUCCGCCUAAGUAUGCUAAGUAAUGCCUGCCAUGACACUUAUGAGAAUAGUAUGUGGAUUAUUGAUAUAGGUGCAUCUAAUCACAUGACAAGAGACCCUAGUAAAUUAAAAUAUUUUAUCCUUUCAUCUCAGUCACGUAUUUCUACAGCCAACGGGAGUACCUCUCCUAUUAGUGGGAGGGAUCUGUCAUUUUAUUUGAUCCUCUUAAAAUGGAUACUGUACUAGUAGUUCCUUCUCUUGAAUAUAAUCUCAAUAAAGCUACUUAAACAGACUAAAAUCCAGGGUUGAAAACAGGUAUUUAAAAUUUCCAACGUGGCAUCCUUUUGGAGGGAGGAAACGUAAGGUAAUGUGCACAUUGGAGGGAAAUUAAGUGGAGCACAUUUUUCCCCUAUUAUUCACUGAAGUAGACCCCAUUUUCCCACCUCUUUCAUCUUCAUGAUCCUUCGCUCUCAGAAAACUCCGGGAAAGUAUACAAAAAAAUUCAAACUAUCAUUCAAACUUUCACGAACGGCAGAAAAAUUACAGGACCCUGUUUUGGUAAUUUUUCUUCUUCAUUUCAGCUUAUGUGUAUUGUGGUAAUUCCUGUAUUUUGGUAAUUUUUCUUCCUCUGUGUUCAAAUUGUUGAUUACUCCAUUUUGAUCUUCUAAAAAAUCACAGUCUUGGUUGAUUUCAGUCGUAGUUGGAAGUUCAAAGUUUUCUUAGAAAGAAUUGUGUGGCUUUGUUGGCAUUACAUUUUUUAAACUAAUGAUUUGAUGCGUAAUUCUCUCGUAAAUGUGUGAUUUUAAUCUUUGUUUAUCUAUAAUGUUGGACUUGGCAAAACUUGAUGACAGCAUACUGCCCUUAUUGGUAAUGAAUGUCGAAUGUCGAAUGUCCAAUGCUUCCACUGUGAAGAAUUUAGUCUGCAAUAGAAUUUCUAAUAAUUCUACAGCUGAGCCACUUUUGUUCAUUUACCAAUUCUUCUUAAUUUACAUUUCUAUGUAUUUUGGUUAUCUUCUUCAUUUACCUUACUUUUCACUGAGGAAACUUUAACAAUUUCAUACGGUUUUUUGUUUGUAGGUCAGGCAUUGCCGUUCUACUAUGAAAACUUAUUUGAUGAAGGUAGCAGAGGCAAGCGUGUGAUGUUAGGAUUGUUGUUAUAGUCAUUUCAUCUACUGUUAGAAUUUAUCUAGCUAUGGCAUAUGUUACACUUUAUAAGUUCGUUUGUAAUCUUUAUUUGUUCGUGUUGCUUUACGUCUCCUAUGUGAUGGUUUGUAAUCUUUAUUUCAUCCCUCGAAUGUUUGGUUUUUAACCAAAUGUAUAAAUUGUUCCCUG
rnacentral:lncRNA from 1 species